rnacentral:tRNA from 1 species
UAGCUCAGAUGGUAAAAGAAUCUGCCUGCAAUGCAGCAAACCCAGGUUCGAUUCCUGG